ACAGGCAGCUGAAAAGUCCUGGGGACUGAGCAGGGCAGAAAGAGGAAUGGAUGAAGAAAGGAGGAGAGAGAGAGAUCAGAGCUGAGGCUGAAGGACAAAAAGAGCCAGAGAUACAAACCUGCCAAGCACGGUCACUGGGAGAGUUCCAGAGAGCCAUCAGACUGUAAGAACCGAAGGUUUCAGACCAGCAGCUGCCUAGGACUGGUAGCUCAUUGGUUUACAGACAACAGGAGCAGAAAUUUCUGAGAAAGCAGAACUUUAAAGAGGCUGUUGAGCCCACCCCCCAGCAUCCGGACCUGGCUCCGCAAAUAGUUAUAUAUAAGCACUCGGGACUCCACUAUCUACAGGAACUUCUAACUUCCUUGAAACAAAGCGUCCUUUAAACACAAGACAUGGUCAAGGAGGACUCCAGCUCCAGGUCCACCGUGGUUAACAUCAGCAGCGGCGAUGUCCCAAAGGAUUAUGUGACCUGGUCCACAUUUAACACAGUGUUCCUGAACAGCUGUUGCCUGGGUUUCCUUGCCUAUGUCUUCUCUGUGAAGUCCAGGGACAGGAAGAUGGCGGGCGAUGUGAUUGGGGCCCAGGCCUACGCCACAACUGCCAAGCGCUUGAACAUCGGUGCCGUGGUCGUCUCCAUCAUCACGUUCAUUGUGAUUAUCAUUAUAUCCACCCAAAGUAAAUAGGUCGCUACUAAGGAUGGCACUCCACGAAGUAUGUGCUCAUCGUAUAGAGAGUCAGCGGAUUAAAUUCUCCCCUGCACUGUUUCCUCGGGGAAUGCAUGCCUGCCCUCCGCCCUUCCCAGAUGCCCCUCAUCCUGGCCCCGACCUGACACUGGCCUCCUCGUGGGAUUGUUACCCUCUCACAUGUGCUCAUAGUGGAGUCAAUAAAGUGCACUGGGUGGCAA